rnacentral:rRNA from 1 species
AUUGAACGCUGGCGGCAGGCCUAACACAUGCAAGUCGAGCGGAUGAAGAGAGCUUGCUCUCUGAUUUAGCGGCGGACGGGUGAGUAAUGCCUAGGAAUCUGCCUGGUAGUGGGGGAUAACGUUCCGAAAGGAACGCUAAUACCGCAUACGUCCUACGGGAGAAAGCAGGGGACCUUCGGGCCUUGCGCUAUCAGAUGAGCCUAGGUCGGAUUAGCUAGUUGGUGAGGUAAUGGCUCACCAAGGCGACGAUCCGUAACUGGUCUGAGAGGAUGAGAAGUCACACGGGAACUGAGACACGGUCCAGACUCCUACGGGAGGCAGCAGUGGGGAAUAUUGGACAAUGGGCGAAAGCCUGAUCCAGCCAUGCCGCGCGUGUGAAGAAGGUCUUCGGAUUGUAAAGCACUUUAAGUUGGGAGGAAGGGCAGUAAGUUAAUACCUUGCUGUUUUGACGUUACCGACAGAAUAAGCACCGGCUAACUUCGUGCCAGCCGCCGCAGUAACAC